GACGAACGCUGGCUGCGUGCUUAACACAUGCAAGUCGAACGCUGAAGCCAGAAGCUUGCUUCUGGUGGAUGAGUGGCGAACGGGUGAGUAACACGUGAGUAACCUGCCCCUGAUUUCGGGAUAAGCCUGGGAAACCGGGUCUAAUACCGGAUGCGACCACCUGACGCAUGUCGGGUGGUGGAAAGUUUUUCGAUCGGGGAUGGGCUCGCGGCCUUUCAGCUUGUUGGUGGGGUAAUGGCCUACCAAGGCGACGACGGGUAGCCGGCCUGAGAGGGCGACCGGCCACACUGGGACUGAGACACGGCCCAGACUCCUACGGGAGGCAGCAGUGGGGAAUAUUGCACAAUGGGGGAAACCCUGAUGCAGCGACGCAGCGUGCGGGAUGACGGCCUUCGGGUUGUAAAGCUCUGUCUUCAGGGACGAUAAUGACGGUACCUGAGGAGGAAGCCACGGCUAACUACGUGCCAGCAGCCGCAGUAA
rnacentral:rRNA from 1 species